AAGAGUAAAGUCAGACUUAGUUUGCAGAAUUUCCUCUUUGUAUGAAUUCAUUUGUCAUUUAUACUUAGAAGUAAAGGGUAUUUGAUAAGUUGAUAUCUAUAUAUGGUAAUUUUGUGAACGCGUCGAACGCGUCUUAAGUGUACGUAUAUUACAGUCCCACCUGUGGUUUUCCAACACUUUAAACUACACUAAAAUGGCUUACAUAGAUAAAUGGAAUGCGAAAAGCAUGUUUUACGAUGAAGACAUUUG